AGAGAGAGACAUGCGCGCAUAUCAAUAAGCGGAGGAAAAGAAACUAACAAGGAUUCCCUUAGUAACGGCGAGUGAAGCGGGAAGAGCUCAAAUUUGAAAUCUUCAAGGUUCUACCUUGACGAAUUGUAGUUUAUAGAAGUGUUUUCUGUUAGUGGAGUGGCAAAAGUUCUUUGGAAUAGGACAUCAUAGAGGGUGAGAAUCCCGUAUUUGGUCAUUCCUCCUAGCGUUGUGAUACACUUUCAACGAGUCGGAUUGUUUGGGAAUGCAGUCCAAAAUGGGUGGUAAAUUUCAUCUAAAGCUAAAUAUUGGCGAGAGACCGAUAGCGAACAAGUACCGUGAGGGAAAGAUGUAAAAGAACUUUGAAAAGAGAGUUAAACAGUACGUGAAAUUGUCAAAAGGGAAGCGUUUGACACCAGUGUUGUUUUUCCGAAAAUCAAUUACGAAUGUUUUAGUUUUUGAGGAGUUAUGACUUCAUCGGCUUGCUCCUUUCUUUAUGAAACUUUCUUAAUGCACUUUUCGGUUAACAAGUCAACAUCAAUUUCUUUUGUUGUAAAAGGGUAUGAGGAAGGCUGGCUUUCUUUUCGGAGAAAGUGUUUAUAGCCUUGUGCCUCUGCAAUCGGAGAGAUUGAGGUCUGCAGCGUAGAUCCUUCGGGGUUAGAUACAUUUGUGCUAAGCUAUAGCCUUGUAUAGACAACUUGUUGACUAUGCUCUAGUCUAUUGUAGCUUACUCGCUUAUGCUAUUUUACCUACGCUUAGGAUGUUGAUAGUCACAGCGUGUAC
rnacentral:rRNA from 1 species